UUUUUUUCUUAAAAAAUGUUCUUCGUCAAAUUUGUGAUCCACUCCCAGAAUUUAACUCUGAGGCAUUAGAUAAGGAUUGGCACACUGGUCAGCUUCAGUGUCAUGAUAACCUUGUUAUGCAAUUCUCCUGCUGGGAAGCGCGUUAUAGUGUAUAGUGGUUUGCAGCUUAAUUUAUCUAGGCCAAAUUUUGAAUUCUGGUAAACAAGAUGUGCGCGCUUACUCCUUGCCGAUUUGAAUGAGAAAACUUUGCAUCUUAUAAACCACAAAAAUAACCUGGGGAUUUAUUAACUCUGAAUGCAUGGUGUUAGUUCCAUCAUCCGUUUGAAUUCCCACAUUCAAAAGACCCGCCUUUGGUGAAGGCAAAGGUGCCGUGAUAUUCUUUCUGAGGGGCGGAUUCCUUGUCAGCGUUUUCAGUGUAUGUGAUUCUAAAGUCUAACUCUGUUCGACCUAUACAGUGAACAUAGGAUUUCUGUGAUUCUGUUCUUUUAAAAUUCAGUGAAUGGAUUAGACGCCGUUUUCACCCUUUAAACCCGCUGAUUUGAAAGAAAAUAAGUUAAACUUGUACCGAUAAUGGAACUUAAAUGUGAUUUACAUAUUGAAUAUGGGUUAGUA